UACGUAGGGUGCAAGCGUUGUCCGGAAUUAUUGGGCGUAAAGAGCUCGUAGGCGGUCUGUCGCGUCGAAUGUGAAAACCCGGGGCUCAACCCCGAGCCUGCAUUCGAUACGGGCAGACUAGAGUUCGGUAGGGGAGUCUGGAAUUCCUGGUGUAGCGGUGAAAUGCGCAGAUAUCAGGAGGAACACCGGUGGCGAAGGCGGGACUCUGGGCCGAUACUGACGCUGAGGAGCGAAAGCGUGGGGAGCAAACAGG
rnacentral:rRNA from 1 species